rnacentral:rRNA from 1 species
AAAUUGAAGAGUUUGAUCAUGGCUCAGAUUGAACGCUGGCGGCAGGCCUAACACAUGCAAGUCGAGCGGUAGCACAGAGAGCUUGCUCUCGGGUGACGAGCGGCGGACGGGUGAGUAAUGUCUGGGAAACUGCCUGAUGGAGGGGGAUAACUACUGGAAACGGUAGCUAAUACCGCAUAACGUCGCAAGACCAAAGUGGGGGACCUUCGGGCCUCAUGCCAUCAGAUGUGCCCAGAUGGGAUUAGCUAGUAGGUGGGGUAACGGCUCACCUAGGCGACGAUCCCUAGCUGGUCUGAGAGGAUGACCAGCCACACUGGAACUGAGACACGGUCCAGACUCCUACGGGAGGCAGCAGUGGGGAAUAUUGCACAAUGGGCGCAAGCCUGAUGCAGCCAUGCCGCGUGUGUGAAGAAGGCCUUCGGGUUGUAAAGCACUUUCAGCGGGGAGGAAGGCGUUAAGGUUAAUAACCUCAUCGAUUGAC